rnacentral:rRNA from 1 species
GAUGAACGCUGACAGAAUGCUUAACACAUGCAAGUCUACUUGAAUUUGGGUUUUUUAACUUAGAUUUGGGUGGCGGACGGGUGAGUAACGCGUAAAGAACUUGCCUCACAGUUAGGGACAACAUUUGGAAACGAAUGCUAAUACCUGAUAUUAUGAAUAUAUGGCAUCAUAUAAUUAUGAAAGCUAUAAGCGCUGUGAGAGAGCUUUGCGUCCCAUUAGCUAGUUGGAGAGGUGACGGCUCACCAAGGCGAUGAUGGGUAGCCGGCCUGAGAGGGUGAACGGCCACAAGGGGACUGAGACACGGCCCUUACUCCUACGGGAGGCAGCAGUGGGGAAUAUUGGACAAUGGACCAAGAGUCUGAUCCAGCAAUUCUGUGUGCACGAUGACGUUUUUCGGAAUGUAAAGUGCUUUCAGUUGGGAAGAAAAAAAUGACGGUACCAACAGAAGAAGUGACGGCUAAAUACGU